CUGACUUCCAAGCCUGUGCUCAAAAGCCUUCUGCAUCUGUGCCUCCUGAGGAUCUGGCAAGGUUCUUCCCCUAAGGAAUUUUCCGUUGGGGAAGCAGAAACAAUGGCACACAGUACUGCUUGGCUGUGAAUAAGAAGUUGUUUGGAGCUGCAGAGGAGUUCGGAGGCAGAGGGACAUAGGCAGGACCAGAGAGGGGGCUUUGUGAAGGUGACAGUCUUCCGCUAGGGUCUGAAAUAAGUCUGGGAGAAGAGGAACAGCAGGUUCAGGGGCGGGGAGGUGGCGUGACCCAUGGUCCAAGUGAGAAGGAUGUGUGCUGUGGGGUUGGAGUUAGGGUGGCCAAAGUGGAGGGCUGGGUUUCUUGGGGAAGGGGAGAUGAGACUGGGUAACUCAAGUCAGAGAGACGUGAAAUCACACAGGAGAUGGGACAGGGAAUAAUAAACACCUCUGUAGGUUUUUGAACAGGGUAGGACAGGAUACAUUUCUCUUUGAGAGCCAUGACGUGGGCAGCAGAUGACAGACUCCUCAUGCCGUCAUGGUUUUUCCUUCUUCCCUCCGUGUGUACCCUUGGGACCUAGUGUCAACUCUUUUGGUCCUGGGAACAGCCAUCUGUAUAGAGGUCCUGUGUUGGUUGAUCAAACCACCCAGGGGUGUGGAGAGGUGAAGAGUGCAGAACUUGGAUCUGACCCCUGGACCUGUAGUUCACUAGCUAUUCAAAUUAUCUGACCUUUCUUCAUUCCUUUUUUCCCCUUGUCUGUAAUUUGCAGAUAAUAGUAAUGACUCAUAGGGUUUUUAAGGAUUAAGAUGCUAGCAGAUUUAAGUACAAAGGCUUUUUAAGUCUAGUGGUUCCAGACUUCCGGGGGAUUAAGUGCCAGCUGUAUCACUUACUGUGUGACUUCGGGUAAGUUACUUAACCUCUCUGUGUCUCCUUUUUCUUAUUUAUAAAAUCAGCCUGAUGAUUGUACCUACCUCACAAGGAGAAUUAAAUGAGGAUAGAUAGAUAGGUAGCUGGCUCUUAAACAUGCAUGGCAUGUGAUAAUGUGGUUAAUAAAUUAUAUCUGCUAUUAUUAGCAGUCUCAUUAUCACCAUCAUUGCAGUGCUUGGUUUAGAGUAGGUACUUUAUUUGAUGUAGGAGAGCAAAGAAUAAAAUCUCCCAAGUAUAUGGGUAAGAAAUUCAUCUGAUCACUGUGAAAAUGAUGUGACUUCAAAGCUUCUCUUUUUUUUUUUUGUGGGGCAGGGGGGAAGGUGAGCCACUGCAGCAUGCGGAAGUUCUUGAGUCGGGAAUCGGACCUGUGCCACAGCAAUGACAAUGCUGGAUCCAAUGUGCCACGCCACCAGGGAACUCUGAGACUUUCUCUUAAGCAUCUUGUGCCAAUUUCAGGAUCUUUUGGAGAUCCCAGGAUUACUGAAAUCUUUAAAAAAGUCCAUCAUUGGGAGUUCCUGUUGUGGCUCAGUGGUAACAAACCCGCCUAGUAUCCAUGAGGACAAAGGUUCAAUCCCUGACCCCACUCAGUGGGUUAAGGAUCUGGCAUUGCUGUGACCUGUGGUGUAGGUUGCAAAUGCAGCUCAGAUCCGAAGUUGCUGCGGCUGUGGUGUAGGCCAACCUCUAUCCUGGGAACCUCCAUAUGCUGCCGGUGCAGCCCUAAAAAGAAAAUUAAAUUAAAUUUUAAAAACAUCAUUUAGGAGUUCCCAGGCUAGGGGUCCAAUCGGAGCUGUAGCCCCCGGCCUACGCCAGAGCCACAGCAACGUGGGAUCCGAGCCGCGUCUGCAACCUACACCACAGCUCAUAGCAACGCUGGAUCGUCAACCCACUGAGCAAGGGCAGGGACCGAACCCGCAACCUCAUGGUUCCUAGUUGGAUUCGUUAACCACUGCGCCACGACGGGAACUCCUGAUCAGCUCACUUUUAAUCUUAAUUUUACAGCUAGCCAUAUUGUUAAAAAAAAAAAAAAAAAGAAAAA
ensembl:lncRNA